rnacentral:rRNA from 1 species
UACGUAGGUGGCAAGCGUUAUCCGGAAUUAUUGGGCGUAAAGCGCGCGCAGGUGGUUUCUUAAGUCUGAUGUGAAAGCCCACGGCUCAACCGUGGAGGGUCAUUGGAAACUGGGAGACUUGAGUGCAGAAGAGGAAAGUGGAAUUCCAUGUGUAGCGGUGAAAUGCGUAGAGAUAUGGAGGAACACCAGUGGCGAAGGCGACUUUC